UGACCUUGCAGCUCUGAGACAGGAGCUCAGCCCAGGAUUCCCAGGUGUUCCUGGAGUCUUGUCAGUACAGAACACAGACCACUCAUCAUGGAGUCUGGUUUCAUCUGGGUUUUCCGUGUUGCUGUUUUAACAGGUGUCCAGUGUGAAGUGCAGCCGGUGGAGUCUGGGGGAAGCCUGGUGAAGCCUGGGGGGUCUCUAGGACUGUCCCAUGCAGUCUCUGGAUUCACCAUCAGUAGUAGGUACUGGAUGCACUGGGUCCGCCAGGCUCCUGGGAAGGGGCUGGAAUGGAUCUCAGCAAUUGCUGGUAGUAGCACAUACUAUGCCAACUCUGUGAAGGGCCGAUUCACCAUCUCCAAAGACGAUGACAAGAACGAGCUCUAUCUGCAAAUGAAUAGCCUGAGACCUGAGGACACGGCCAUGUAUUACUGUGAGAGUGACACAGUGAGGGUACGUCAUUGGAACCCUGACACAAACCUCCCUGAAGGAGACAGGGGGGCUGGACUGCAGGGGAAGCUCCGAACACCAGGGGGCGCCCAGGGCACAUUGAGUACUGGGUGCAGUUCUGAAACAGCUGCAAAUGCACUUUAA